CUUAGCCAUUUUCUGCUCUGGAAAACUGUGGAAAAUUACUUAGAAUUUUUUAACUGUCGACCAAUAGUACAAUAACAUCGGGAUCGAAGUCGGGCUCGAUGAACAAUUAAUUUAAACAACAAGCCGAAAUUCAAAAAUAUCGAAUCGAAUGCCAUGUUGAUGUUGCACAGAAGGAAAGUUGGAAAGAGAGUGUCUAGAACAGGGGAAUCUUGAUAAGCUGUAGAUGGAAGAAGCUGAAGACAUUUUAAGACCCGCUGUUGCUGCAUAAAAAUGUGCCCGAGAUGAUCCCCUCAGCGCUGGCGUUUGAUAACUUGAUGGAUGUAGAUGCUUAGCCAGUCAGUCUCUAGGCUUGUGAAUAUGGAAUCCGGGUGCUCACAAGGACAAGAGGUGUAUGAAAAGAAAAACAUAAAGAAAUUGUGUAAGGAUCAAAAGUUUGAAGUGUCUGUUGGAAUGAUCAACAUCGAACUUUCUGAGCCUUCGUACUGAAAGUGAAUCCGUUCGUGACACCAAUUAACUGUCAACCUUCUAACAUAACCAUUUACUAAUUUCAUAGAAUAUCAGUGAGGAAGUGCAUGAUUCUCUAGCAAACACGUCAGAAGUUUUGGAUCUUCAUUAAUUGGGAUCUUUGGCACGUACGUUGGG